rnacentral:misc_RNA from 1 species
UAGUGGCACGCAUCUUUAGUCCCAG